UACGAAGGGUGCAAGCGUUAAUCGGAAUUACUGGGCGUAAAGCGUGCGUAGGCGGUGACUUAAGUCUGUUGUGAAAUCCCCGGGCUCAACCUGGGAAUGGCAAUGGAUACUGGGUCGCUAGAGUGUGAUAGAGGAUGGUGGAAUUCCCGGUGUAGCGGUGAAAUGCGUAGAGAUCGGGAGGAACAUCAGUGGCGAAGGCGGCCACCUGGACCAGCACUGACACUGAGGCACGAAAGCGUGGGGAGCAAACAGG
rnacentral:rRNA from 1 species